AAUAAAAAAAAAAUGCAAUCUUGAACAUUUAACCCUGCAUUAAACGCAUUUUUAAAACAUAUAAUGAAAUAAACUAUGUGAUCUUAGUAGAUGUUUUUUUGGAGUGUGUUGUUCUCAGUAGCUGGGCGAUAGAAAACAUUGAAUUUCAUUUACGGUAAGUUAUUAGUUUUUUAUUUGAAAAAUGCUAAAAUAAUUCCAAUGUUGAUAAUAAUUUUACAGAUUUUGUGAGAUGGAACCAGUUUUACAUAAAGAAAUGUACCAAAACAGACUGAAGAUUCGCUUUUGGAACGGCUUAUUGUGGAUGCCGCCAACUCAGGUUAUUGAACACCGCUGUCGAGGUCGCUGGAUCUGAUUCGUAAGAUGUUAGAAGAUGACUUCUCCCGAGUGCUUACGGGAUGAAUCUACAAGACUUCGGAAUCAGAACGGAAGAGCGUGGCACUGAAGUUUACCGUUCAGUCGAUCGCUUCUGAAAGCAGUUACACAUCCGGCAUCCGGUGACGAAAGAUUGCGUGAAGCGAAAAACCACCGUUUGGUGCAUUUUGUCUGCAAUUAAGACAAGGAGCUAAAAUGUGCGAACAGAUGACCGCAUUUGAACCCGAAGUAUAAGUUCCAGAUACAUGAUUCAGAGAACCGGAAUUAAAAAAUGCACGCCGGUAACGAAGCGCUGGCGAACCAAGGACUUUUGACUGACACUAUUUGAAUACAGAAAGGUUGUACAGUUUUUCUCGACGGAUUUAAUAAAUAAUGUAUAUUGUGGAUAUGCGCUAAAUCCUAUUGGAAAAUAAAACACAUUGAUUUACU